rnacentral:rRNA from 1 species
UACGGGGGGGGUAAGCGUUGUUCGGAAUCACUGGGCGUAAAGCGCACGUAGGCGGAUGUGCCAGUCAGGGGUGAAAUCCCGGAGCUCAACUCCGGAACUGCCUCUGAUACAGCACGUCUUGAGUUCGAGAGAGGUGGGUGGAAUUCCUAGUGUAGAGGUGAAAUUCGUAGAUAUUAGGAAGAACACCGGUGGCGAAGGCGGCCCACUGGCUCGAUACUGACGCUGAGGUGCGAAAGCGUGGGGAGCAAACAGG